GAUAAACGCUAGCUACAGGCUUAACACAUGCAAGUCGAGGGGAAACGAUAUUGGAAGCUUGCUUCCGAUAGGCGUCGACCGGCGCACGGAUGAGUAACGCGUAUCCAACCUGCCCACCACUUGGGGAUAACCUUGCGAAAGUAAGACUAAUACCCAAUGACGUCCAUAGAAGACAUCUGAAAUGGAUUAAAGAUUUAUCGGUGAUGGAUGGGAUGCGUCUGAUUAGCUUGUUGGCGGGGUAACGGCCCACCAAGGCGACGAUCAGUAGGGGUUCUGAGAGGAAGGUCCCCCACAUUGGAACUGAGACACGGUCCAAACUCCUACGGGAGGCAGCAGUGAGGAAUAUUGGUCAAUGGGCGAGAGCCUGAACCAGCCAAGUAGCGUGCAGGAUGACGGCCCUAUGGGUUGUAAACUGCUUUUAUAAGGGAAUAAAGUGAGCCUCGUGAGGCUUUUUGCAUGUACCUUAUGAAUAAGGACCGGCUAAUUCCGUGCCAGCAGCCGCCGUAA
rnacentral:rRNA from 1 species